rnacentral:rRNA from 1 species
GACGAACGCUGGCGGCGUGCCUAAUACAUGCAAGUAGAACGCACAGUUUAUACCGUAGCUUGCUACACCAUAGACUGUGAGUUGCGAACGGGUGAGUAACGCGUAGGUAACCCGCCUGGUAGCGGGGGAUAACUAUUGGAAACGAUAGCUAAUACCGCAUAAUAUUGAUUAUUGCAUGAUAAUUGAUUGAAAGAUGCUAUUGCAUCACUACCAGAUGGACCUGCGUUGUAUUAGCUAGUAGGUGAGGUAACGGCUCACCUAGGCGACGAUACAUAGCCGACCUGAGAGGGUGAUCGGCCGCACUGGGACUGAGACACGGCCCAGACUCCUACGGGAGGCAGCCGUAGGGAAUCUUCGGCAAUGGGCGAAAGUCUGACCGAGCAACGCCGCGUGAGUGAGGAAGGUUUUCGGGUCGUAAAGCUCUGUUGUCAGAGAAGAACGGGUGUGAGAGUGGAAAGUUCACACUGUGACGGUAUCUUACCAGAAAGGGACGGCUAACUACGUG